UACGUAGGCAGCAAGCGUUGUUCGGAAUUACUGGGCGUAAAGAGUGUGUAGGCGGUGCUCUAAGUUCGGUGUGAAAUCUCCCGGCUUAACUGGGAGGGUGCGCCGGAAACUGGAGUGCUCGAGCGUGGGAGAGGAAAGCGGAAUUCCUGGUGUAGCGGUGAAAUGCGUAGAUAUCAGGAGGAACACCUGCGGUGUAGACGGCUUUCUGGACCAUUGCUGACGCUGAGACCACGAAAGCGUGGGUAGCAAACAGG
rnacentral:rRNA from 1 species